GUGCUUAACACAUGCAAGUCGAGCGAAGUGGUAGCUGUAGCAAUACAGAGUACGCUUAGCGGCAAACGGGUGAGUAAUACAUAAGCAACCAUCCUCUUAGCGGGGGAUAGCUCAUCGAAAGGUGAGGUAAUACCGCGUACGAUUGUUCUUCGGCAUCGAAGGACAAUGAAACAUCCGCAAGGAUGGCUAAGAGACGGGCUUAUGACCUAUCAGCUAGUUGGCGGGGUAACAGCCCACCAAGGCAACGACGGGUAGCCGACCUGAAAGGGCGAUCGGCCACACUGACACUGAGACACGGGUCAGACACCUACGGGUGGCAGCAGUGAGGAAUUUUGGACAAUGGGGGAAACCCUGAUCCAGCGACGCCGCGUGGAGGACGAAGGUCUUCGGAUUGUAAACUCCUUUUCUCUGGGAAUAACUUGUCUGUAGAAAUACGGAAAAUGAAUGUACCAGAGGAAUAAGCCACGGCUAACUUCGUGCCAGCAGCCGCGGUAAUACGAAGGUGGCAAGCGUUACUCGGAAUGACUAGGCGUAAAGGGCAGGUAGGUGGUUUGGUAAGUCGGUUGUGAAAGCUCCCGGCUCAACUGGGAGAGGCCAGCAGAUACUGCUGAGCUUGAGUAUAGGAGAGGGAUCUGGAAUUCCCGGUGUAGCGGUGAAAUGCGCAGAGAUCGGGAGGAACACCAAUGGCGAAAGCAAGAUACUGGACUAUUACUGACACUCAGCUGCGAAAGCUAGGGGAGCAAACAGGAUUAGAUACCCUGGUAGUCCUAGCUGUAAACGAUGCACAUUAGACGUGGGGGGUAUCGACCCCCUUCUUGUCGACGCAAACGCAUUAAAUGUGCCGCCUGGGGAGUACGGCCGCAAGGUUGAAACUCAAAGAAAUUGACGGGGGCCCGCACAAGCGGUGGAGCAUGUGGUUUAAUUCGACGCAACGCGAAGAACCUUACCUGGGCUUGACAUGCACUGGACCGGCAGUGAAAGCUGUCUUCUCUUCGGAGCUGGUGCACAGGUGCUGCAUGGCUGUCGUCAGCUCGUGUCGUGAGAUGUUGGGUUAAGUCCCGCAACGAGCGCAACCCUCGCCCUUUGUUGCUACCGGGUUAUGCCGGGCACUCUAGGGGGACUGCCUCGGUGAACGGGGAGGAAGGUGGGGAUGACGUCAAGUCCUCAUGGCCUUUAUGUCCAGGGCUACACACGUGCUACAAUGGUCAGGACAAUGGGUCGCUCCCUCGCGAGAGGUUGCCAAUCCCAAAAACUCGGCUCAAGUUCGGAUGGCUGGCUGCAACUCGCCAGCCUGAAGCUGGAAUCGCUAGUAAUCGGAGAUCAGCACGCUCCGGUGAAUACGUUCCCGGGCAUGUACUCAC
rnacentral:rRNA from 1 species